rnacentral:rRNA from 1 species
UACGAAGGGGGCUAGCGUUGCUCGGAAUUACUGGGCGUAAAGCGCACGUAGGCGGCUUCUUAAGUCGGUGGUGAAAUCCUGGAGCUCAACUCCAGAACUGCCUUCGAUACUGCAAAUCUCGAGUCCGGAAGAGGUGAGUGGAAUUCCUAGUGUAGAGGUGAAAUUCGUAGAUAUUAGGAAGAACACCAGUGGCGAAGGCGGCUCA